rnacentral:rRNA from 1 species
AUGCCUUUUGCUCAACAUAGCAUGGAGUAUUUGGGCCACAUUAUUUCAGAUGCUGAAGUUACUACUGAUCCGACAAAGACUGCUGCCAUGGUGGACUGGCCCACUCCCACAAAUGUCACUGAGUUAAGGGAAUUUUUAGGGCUCACUGGAUAUUACAGGAAUUUUUUCCAGAAUUAUGGGUUACUGGCUAAACCACUGACAGCUCUUCUCAAGAAACAGGCCUUCCAGUGGAUGGACACAGCCCAGAGAGCUUUUCGAUUGUUGAAACAGGCAAUGGCUACUACUCCAGUUCUGGCAUUACCAGAUUUCAACAAAUCCUUUACUGUGGAAACAAAUGCUUGCAAUACUGGUAUUAGGGCUUGUGCUUACACAAGAGGACCAUCCCAUAGCUUAUUACCACAAGGCCUUGGGGGUUAA